rnacentral:rRNA from 1 species
CCUGGUUGAUCCUGCCAGUAGUCAUAUGCUUGUCUCAAAGAUUAAGCCAUGCAUGUGUAAGUAUGAACUAAUUCAAACUGUGAAACUGUGAAUGACUCAUUAAAUCAGUUAUAGUUUGUUUGAUGGUACUUGCUACUCGGAUAACCGUAGUAAUUAUAGAGCUAAUAUGUGCAACACCCCGACUUCUGGAAGGGACACAUUUAUUAGAUAAAAGGUCGACGCGGACCUAGUCUCUUGCUCUGAUUAUUCAUGAUAACUUGACAGAUCGCACUGCCUUUGUGUUGGCGACGCAUCAUUCAAAUUUUUGCCCUAUCAACUUUUGAUGGUAGGAUAGUGGCCUACUAUGGAGGUGAUGGGUGACGGAGAAUUAGGGUUCGAUUCCGGAGAGGGAGCCUGAGAAACGGCUACCACAUCCAAGGAAGGCACCAGGCGCGCAAAUUACCCAAUCGCGACACGGGGAGGUAGUGACAAUAAAUAACAAUAUCGGGCUCUUUGAGUCUAGUUAUUGGAAUGAGUACAAUCUAAAUCCCUUAACGAGGAUCCAUUGGAGGACAAGUCUUGUGCCAGCAGCCGCGAUAAUUCCAGCUCCAAUAGUGUAUAUUUAAGUUGUUGCAGUUCAAAAGCUUGUAGUUGGACUCGGGAUAUGUUUUUCGGUCCACCUUAUGGUGUGCACCGUCAGUCGCGUCCUUUCUGCCAGUGAUGCGUUCCUGGCCUUAAUUGGUCGGGUCGUUCCUCUGGCGCUGUUACUUUGAAGAAAUUAGAGUGCUCAAAGCAAGCCUUCGCUUUGUAAACAUUAGCAUGGGAUAACGUCAUAGGAUUUUGAUCUUAUUCUGUUGGCCUUCGGGAUCAGAGUAAUGAUUAAUAGGGACAGUCGGGGGCAUUCGUAUUUCAUAGUCAUAGGUGAAAUUCUUAGAUUUAUCAAAGACGAACAACUGCGAAAGCAUUUGCCAAGGAUGUUUUCACUAAUCAAGAACAAAAUUUGGGGGCUCAAAGACGAUCAGAUACCAUCCUAGUCUCAACCAUAAGCGAUGCCGACUAGGGAUCGGCGAAUGUUGCUUAUAGGACAUCGCCGGCACCUUCUGAGAAAUCAAAGUCUUUGGGUUCCGGGGGUAGUCUAGUCGCAAGGCUGAAACUUAAAGGAAUUGACGGAAGGGCACCACCAGGAGUGGAGCCUGUAGCUUAAUUUGACUCAACACGGAGAAACUUACCAGGUCCAGACAUAGUAAGGAUUGACAGACUGAGUGCUCUUUCUUUUUUUUGUUAAGUAAAGUAUAUUUACGAGCACAUUUACAUGUGAAAGUACAAAAGGCAGUGGAAAUAGAAGGCAAAUGCCGACAGACCGUGCCCACCAGGACCCAAAAAAAUUAGCCCCUAAGGAUUGAUCUCAGAAUGUCUACAAAUCGAGACCCACAGACAUAAGGAGAUCAGCCUGGACACAAACAGUUUAACAAAAGCGGAUAACCUUAGCACAGAUCAAGGUUCCAACAAGGACAACUCAUCGGGAAAGAACCAAUAGAGUUGCUUGAACACCUGCUUCUCUAUCCACGUUGCAAUCUGUGCCGGGGAGGAGAAUGUAUUUUCAUGUUUCCGAUCAUUCCGGGCCACCCAAAUGUAAUAUAUCAAAGUCGCUAACAGCAUUUGCGAGACUCGAGCUUGAUGGCAGAGUUUAC